rnacentral:rRNA from 1 species
CCUACGGGAGGCAGCAGUGAGGAAUAUUGGUCAAUGGCCGGAAGGCUGAACCAGCCAAGUAGCGUGAAGGAUGAAGGUUCUAUGGAUUGUAAACUUCUUUUAUACGGGAAUAAAACCACCUACGUGUAGGUGCUUGUAUGUACCGUAUGAAUAAGCAUCGGCUAACUCCGUGCCAGCAGCCGCGGUAAU